GCUGACACCAGAACAGAUGAAAAACUGACUUUUGAGGGAGAGGUUUGCAUCUGUGGAGGAAAUGAAGUGAAGUAAACAACAGAUAGAAACAGGCUUUCUUUGAAGCCCCCCUUGUUGGGACCUGGGAAAGAUGAAUUGAGAGUCUGACAAUUUAAAGCUCUGACAGAAAUAUUUACUGCUGGCUACGAUUUAUUUUUUUCUGAAGGCUGCUACCUGUGAGGUUUCAUCUGCAUAGUUGCUAACUUUGGAGGAAGCCAGCUGCCAUGUCACAAAAAGAUUCAGGAAGCCAUGUGGAGAGGCCCACAUCAUGAGGAACUGAGGUCUUUGCCAAUUACCAGCAAGGAAAUGAGGCCUCCUGCCAACAGCCACGUGAGUAUCCUACCUUGGAAAUGGACCCUCUAACUUCAAUCAGCCUUCAAAUAACUGCAGCCCCAGUUGAUGGCUUGACUGCAACCUUAGGAGAAACCCUGAGCCAAAAACAUUGAGGAAAAACACCCCCAGAUUCCUAUCAGAAAUUGUGUAAGAUAAUAAAUGUUUGUUGUUUUAAGCUGCUAAGUUUUAGGGUGAUUUGUUAUACAGAAGUAGAUAACUAAUACAGAGACAGAAGAAUUACUUUUGGGAGGGUUUGAUCAUUCUGGGCCUGCAAGAAGCCUAAACUGCUUCCUACCCCUUUGUACUGAUGAGAGCUGAGGCACAUGGUCACACCUAAGAAGCUAACUGCAAGAGCACCUGGGAAAUACAGUCUAGCCAAGUGCCCAGGAGGAAGGAAACACUUUGAUAAAUAGCUGGCCAGUCUUGGCCACAUUCAGUGAGUUUAUAUUUGGGAAUGUUUGGACCACAAGAAUCUGGUGACUAUUUAUUCCAAUUCAGACAAGAUUCUUAGAGGAAAUAGGUAAAGUCUUUGACAUAGUCUCUUUUCGAGAAUGAUGCCAAAAAUGGCUGGAGUUUGUCUAUGUCUUUGGUUUGUCUAAUUUAGUAGUGCUGUCAUAACAACAGCAGCAGCAGCACCGCUACUGACAACUAACAUUCAUUGAACACCCAGGCAUUGU
rnacentral:lncRNA from 1 species